GGGUGCUUCAGAUGUCCUUUCUCAUCCAUUAUACAGGUGUUAAUGCUUGAUCUGCUUCUCAGAGUUAUUCAGGGAGCAGACAAGGAAUAUAACAACUGACUUGCCCAAGGUCACACCCGCAGUGGGUGGCAGAGCUGAAGUGUGAACUGGCACGGACCCAGGCUACACCUCCAGGCUUGAGACCCGCAGGUAAGCUGAUGGGCAGAAGCAAAGAGCAGGUUCGCUAACCCUAGAGGCCAUGGAGAGCCAGGCUCCCCCCACAGGCGAUCUCGGCGACACUUGAAGACCGGGACACUGAGGCCAAGAGCGGAUACAGGCCCGUGUGAGGUCAACGGGCAACGACCGGACUCGAACUCGGGCCGGUUAGAGCCCAAGCGAAGGCCAGGCUCCGGCCCUGCCUCCCUCGCCGCCAUUAGCGCCCCGGGCCCUAACGUGCCCCCGCCCUGGCGCUGCCCUCCCGCUGCCCUG